UACGUAGGGUGCGAGCGUUAAUCGGAAUUACUGGGCGUAAAGCGUGCGCAGGCGGUUCGCCAAGUCAGGUGUGAAAUCCCCGGGCUUAACCUGGGAACUGCAUUUGUGACUGCAUCGCUGGAGUACGGCAGAGGGGGGAUGGAAUUCCGCGUGUAGCAGUGAAAUGCGUAGAUAUGCGGAGGAACACCGAUGGCGAAGGCAAUCCCCUGGGCCUGCACUGACGCUCAUGCACGAAAGCGUGGGGAGCAAACAGG
rnacentral:rRNA from 1 species